rnacentral:rRNA from 1 species
CCUACGGGUGGCAGCAGUGGGGAAUAUUGCACAAUGGGGGAGACUCUGAUGCAGCCACGCCGCGUGAGUGAAGAAGUAUCUCGGUACGUAAAGCUCUAUCAGCAGGGAAGAAAAUGACGGUACCUGACUAAGAAGCCCCGGCUAACUACGUGCCAGCAGCCGCGGUAAUACGUAGGGGGCAAGGGUUAUCCGGAUUUACUGGGUGUAAAGGGAGCGUAGACGGCAGCACAAGUCUGGAGUGAAAUCCCGGGGCUUAACCCCGGAACUGCUUUGGAAACUGUGCGGCUGGAGUGCAGGAGGGGUAGGCGGAAUUCCUAGUGUAGCGGUGAAAUGCGUAGAUAUUAGGAGGAACACCGGUGGCGAAGGCGGCUUACUAGACUGUAACUGACGUUGAGGCUCGAAAGCGUGGGGAGCAAACAGGAUUAGAUACCCCGGUAGUC